GAGGGUAUUGCUUAGUGGUAGGGCACGUGCUUAGCAUGCAUAAGGUCCUGGGUUCAAUCCCCAGUACCUCCA
rnacentral:tRNA from 1 species